GCUAUAUCAUCAUUUGAAUUUCUUUUACAAAAAUAAAUAAUAAAAAAGAAUUACUAAAAACUUCACAUCUCAUAAAGCUAAAAAUCAGAUUUUGAAGAUUUUACUUUUGAAAUUUAAGGUCUCCAAGUAAUUUUACCUUCAAGACUACUAAAAUGCUUGAGUCGCCACAAACCGUCACUCCCUUCCCCCACCCAAAUAACCUCUAUCAUAAAGCAAAUAAAAUCAUGAUAUUCUAUUAAAUCCUUACCCCAUUUUUUCAUUUAAUAGCUUACCAUUAUGGUGCUCGGGUCUCCCCGGACCCCAUCCUAUCCCCCGCCCAGUAUUAUAGUGUCAACUCAACUCAACUCAACUCAAAAUCUAAUUUCAUUUACUAUUGUACCUUUCAUUUAUUUACUACCCUUGGAACAUGUUGUACUUUGUUGGGACCAUGGAGCACUGGAUUCUUGCACAUGCCUCUUCAUUUAACAAGCACUAAAUUUAACCAACGUACAUAUGGUCCAUAUAUCACAACCAUCCCCCGCCCCCCCCCCCCCCCCCCCACGCCCACACAACGCAACCCCAAACAAACCCCACCACACAAACCGUCUUUUCCGUCUGCCAAAAAAUAGUAGUAAAACUAUAUUAAAUAAACGAUAUUCAAGAAUCCUGAGGUAUUAUGCUAGAUAGUUUAUAUUUAGGAAAAGAACAUACAUUGUAAAGACUAUAUCGCCUCGUACCAGGACUUGUUUAUGCUGAUCCAACUUAUCGACUACCACCUUGCGUUAAGCAGAUCCAAAUAUCGAUGAUAGAACUCGAGAAUGACAUCGUCAAUUGGCCGUGAAGACGGUGAUGGUUUCACAACUUAAACAUACAGAUAGUGUGACCAUUAUGAGAGCGUGAAGUACAGAAGAAGUUACGUAGAGUUUAGACUACAUAUUAUAUAAAUAUACGCUCCUUUCCUCCACUUGUGAGAGAUCAGAUUUUCAUCACAAUAUAUAGCUACAUGACUUUCACAGUUGUAACUCCAGCUCUGAAUUACUAGACAAUUACGCCAGCAAACAGUACACAAAUUCUAAGAAGGAUUUUUU
rnacentral:lncRNA from 1 species